CAAAGGAUAGUUUAAUAAAAAUAUUAAUUUUGGAGAUUGAUGAUAAAAGUUGCUUUUUCCUUUGA
rnacentral:tRNA from 1 species